rnacentral:rRNA from 1 species
CAGCAGCCACGGGAAUACAGAGGGUGCGAGCGUUAAUCGGAUUUACUGGGCGUAAAGCGUGCGUAGGCGGCUAAUUGAGUCGGAUGUGAAAUCCCCGAGCUUAACUUGGGAAUUGCAUUCGAUACUGGUUAGCUAGAGUGUGGGAGAGUAUGGUAGAAUUCCAGGUGUAGCGGUGAAAUGCGUAGAGAUCUGGAGGAAUACCGAUGGCGAAGGCAGCCAUCUGGCCUAACACUGACGCUGAGGUACGAAAGCAUGGGGAGCAAACAGGAUUAGAUACCCCGGUAGUCCCUGUCUCUUAUAA